ACGGUUACCUUGUUACGACUUAGCCCCAGUCACCGGUUUUACCCUAGGACGCUCCUUGCGGUCACGCACUUCAGGUACCCCCGGCUUCCAUGGCUUGACGGGCGGUGUGUACAAGGCCCGGGAACGUAUUCACCGCGCCGUGGCUGAUGCGCGAUUACUAGCGAAUCCAGCUUCAUGGAGUCGAGUUGCAGACUCCAAUCCGAACUGAGACAGGUUUUCGGGUUCCGCUCUAUGUCGCCAUAUGGCUUCCCGCUGUACCUGCCAUUGUAACACGUGUGUCGCCCCGGACGUAAGGGCCGUGCUGAUUUGACGUCAUCCCCGCCUUCCUCACAGCUUGCGCCGGCAGUCUCCACAGAGUCCUCAGCUUUACCUGUUAGCAACUGUAGAUGGGGGUUGCGCUCGUUAUGGCACUUAAGCCGACACCUCACGGCACGAGCUGACGACAACCAUGCAGCACCUCGUAGACUGCCCCGAAGGGAGAACGGCUUUCACCGUCUGUCAUUCUACGUUUGAGCCCGGGUAAAGUUCCUCGCGUAUCAUCGAAUUAAACCACAUGUUCCUCCGCUUGUGCGGGCCCC
rnacentral:rRNA from 1 species